CUGUAAAACUCCAGAAGAGCAUGAAGGGGAGGCACUCAUCUUUGGAAAAUGCAAUCUCCUAUACUCUGUUAGAGCUCUCCAUUUGCUUCUUCUGAGUGGCCCCUUUAUUCAACAACCAUCAAAAAUAACAGCAAUGGAAAGAACUACCUGAGGCUUAGAAGGGAGAGCAAAGUCCCUCAUGCUGCGUUCAACUUCCUGGCUGGAAGACCAGGAUAAAGUUGCUUUUCAUCCCUCUGCUAGCAAGAGCAAGGCAGCACCCAUGUCAGGAGUGUGAGACAUUUUAGGGACCCAAGAAUGUUCUGGAGCUCCCCUAGAACAAGUGAUGUGCUUCAGCCACCUCAGACCAACUGGUGGUGACUUUCUUCCAUCAAGGCCUCCAGAUUACCCAAAGCAACUCUAAGCAUCAGGAGAACAAAUCUCCAGAGCCAACUUGGGGUGCUUUGGGGUCAUCUCCAUUUGAGGACUGGAGUCAGGGGCCUUCCUCAGCUGGUCUAGAUGCUGCAAAGAAACAGCCAUGUCCCAUAAUAAAAUCUCUGGCUACUGGACUAUCUGCUGAGAAACACAAAACUGCUUCCUGAAGCUGAGUGGUCAGCUCUCCUCACCCAACCAGACCCAACUGGGCAGCACCAUUCUUGCUAUGCCUCAGUAGGGUCUUCACAGACAAUUGAAGCAACCCAAAUGUAAAAUUUAUAGAUGUCAUCUGUACUGAGUAUCCAUAUCAAGAAGACACAAACAGUAAUGAAGCCGUGUACCCCAUCACCGGUUCAUUGUUCCACUGCAGUAAUUCUUGAUAUGAUUAGUUGUAGCUACAGAGUUAAGCCCCAUGGUUGAUUAUUUUUGUGUUUUGGGGGGGCUAAAGUAAUGGACAUAUAGUUCAAAUGUUGUUCUUUUCCUGGGGUCAGACAGAUCUCACAUGACAUAGUUUGCUUCUUUGCCUCAUGUGUCAAUUCCUCCUCCUUUUCUGUCAUUAUCAUUAGGCCAUUAUUGAAUUUCCGAGGCAUGACUCUUGUUAGGAAAUGAUGGAAAAAAUACAGUUGCUCUAUAAUCACCAAUUACAUUGUGACUUCUUACAAGUAAAUGCACUCAACUUUCACCAUUACUCAUUCAUUAUAAAAUUGUAAGAGGUCCAACAUGCCUUUGUUUAGAGAUGUGGUCAUGCUUUGCUUGCUCUACUUCCUGGACAAGGAUCCAAAAUCAUAAUGGCCAGAUGAGACACUGUGAAGGAAUAAUGGCCGGUCAUGGGUCAUAUCACACACAUAGCCCUGAGUAGAGAAGCAUGGCAUCUUCUAGGCAUCUUUUGUAAAGAUGACAGGUUUCUUUAGAUGGGUCUCUGCUCAAACGUUAGGUGGAAGAUGUUUUGUUGACUGUGUUAUGGAGGUCUUUGGCCCUCCAAUGACUAUAGACCUCCCACAGGUCUAGGCAUAUCUGCUAUAAAUAAUAUGAAAACUUCAGAUAUUAUGUAUAACUGCUAGGUAUUUAAAAUAGGAAAUAGGUAAGAGAUGCAUUCUUGAGAAGAGGGAGAGAAGUUGCCUUUGAGAAAAGAUUGAGGGCAUUACUUAAUAGGUUGCUGAGAGUAUCAAAUGGGAUGAUGCAUGAAAAGGACCUAGCCCAUUACCUGGCAGGUAAUAGGAGCUCAAUAAAUGUGAAAUUAUUAUUAAUAUUGUUUUCUGGGCAGCCUGGGUGGCUCAGCGGUUUAGUGCCACCUUCAGCCCAGGGCCUGAUCCGGGAUCGAGUCCCAUGUCAGGCUCCCUGCAUGGAGCCUGCUUCUCCCUCUGCCUGUGUCUCUGCCUCUCUCACUCUCUUUGUGUCUCUCAUGAAUAAAUAAAUAAAAUCUUUAAAAUAAUAAUAAUAAUAUUGUUUUCUGCCUAGCAGCUUCAGCUCCCUUGGCUUCAUGUGCUGGCAACACUUCCUGACUUGUUCAUUUCUUGCCCUUCCUUGGGUUCUUUUAUCUUAAAUUCUUCUCUAUCAUGAAAUAAUCAUAUCUCAGAUCUAUGGUUGAAGAGCUAAGAGCAGUGAGUAGAUGUAGAAAUAGAUGGGAAUAAUGGCUAAUUCCCAGGUUUCUGACUUAAGAAUAUUCAGGCCCUAGGGGCAGGUUUUUACCUUUUUUUGAGAUGGAAUCCUAUAUUCCAUAGUUUAUAGUUAUUCCAGUCCGUGGGGUUGCUGGUAGAGGUAUUGAUGGAGUAUGCCAACUACCUCCCUUUCUAAAUUAGGCUCAUAUGUGAUCAGGGAUAACAGCUCCCUCACACAAUCAGACCUUGUUCAUCUGGGACAUCCUGAAUGAUGCCAUAACUUGUGGUCCAGAUGGGCAAGAAACUGAAUGAGAGCCACCUCAAGAAAACCUCCUGCUGGAUCCUCAUGCUGAAAGUUGAAUGUUUUUAUGUGGGAGGAAGGGAGAAUGGGGGGUGAAAGGGAAUGAGAGAGGUGGUCUUGCUAUUUAGACUCUUCCUCUGAUAGUACAGAGCCAUUUAGAAGGAGCUGUUCCAACUCUAGUUCUGGGCUCUCAAGUGGUCUUUGCUUACAACAGCAGCAAUGCCUAGGCUCAGACCAGUGGGAAAACAGCCUAGAACUCCUUAGAGGCUCCUUAGAGCCUCAAAGUUUUUUCUUCCAGACUCCCCCAAAUGUCCUAUUUUUAAAAUGAGUUUAUGUUUCUUGAAUCAGAAUUGAAAUAAAGUCCAUACAUUAUGGUUGGUAUUUUUAUGUUUUUUUUUUAAUGUAUAAGUUCUCUUACCGAUUCCAUUUUCCCCCUUGAAAUAUAUUUGUUGAAGAAA